rnacentral:lncRNA from 1 species
CAUAUACCUAUCAACCUAUCAGAGCUCUUGCAGAAUGAACUGACAUGUUGUCCAUCCAUUGAAUGGAUCAGCGAAUGAAUUUUGUACUGAAACAAAAAGCAACAGCUAGCUAGCAAUGUAGUGCAUAAAUUGUGGUUUGCCAAACUGUUGCUGUGUCUCCUCACCCUGCUCUCCAUAGGCCUUAAGUGUCUGGGGCACCUGUUCUUCUUCAAGCUGAUAGGAGACACUCCCAUGGACACCUUCCUCAUGGAGAUGGUCGAAGUACCGUAUCAAAUCACAUGACACAAAUCCCUGUUCUAUCUGUAUUAGCCUAGGCAUGCGACAGUGGGCACUAGAGCUGCACUAUUAUUCAACUAAUGGCACCGGAGGAGAUGGCUGCCGUUUUACAAUCCCCUAACCAAUUGUGCUAUUGUGUGUGUUUUUUUGCAUUAUUUGUAACUUAUUUCGUACAUAAUGUUUCUGCCACUGUGUCUUAUGACCGAAAAUAGUUUCUAGAUAUCAGGACAGCGAUUAUUCACUCCGUACUGGAGGAAUACUUUUUCUUUAACGAGUCGGACUAGAAGGAUUUAUUUUAGAUGCACGACAAGGCCCUCAUCCCCAUAAUUAGCAGGAGAGAGAGACGGAGAUAUCGGGGAUGAAGGUCCGGUUGCCUUGUAAGGAUCCGGAGGCGAGCGGGUAAUCUCCCUUUACCAUCGGUCCUAUUAGCCAACGUACUGUCACGUCCUGACCAUAGUAGGCUGUUAUUUUCUAUGGUAGAGUAGGUCAGGGCGUGACAGGGGGUUUUUCUAGUUGAGUUUUUCUAUGUUAUGGUCUAGUUUUGUAUUUCUAUGUUGGGUUGUUCUAGUUUUGUAUUUCUAUGUUGGGCUGUGUUUGGGAUGAUCUCCAAUUAGAGGCAGUUGGUCAUCGUUGACUCUAAUUGGAGGUCAUAUUUAAGUUGGUGUUUGUCCCACCUGGGUUUGUGGGAGAUUAAUUUUGAGUAGUGUAUGUCUCACCUCUGCGUCACGGUUUGUUGUUUUUGUCAUUGAGUUUAUUUAUGUAUUGCAUAGUUUCACAGUAUAAAUCAAAUCAAAUCAAAUCAAAUUUAUUUUUAUAUAGAACUUCGUACAUCAGCUGAUAUUCUCAGUGCUGUACAGAAACCCAGCCUAAAACCCCAAACAGCAAGCAAAGCAUGUGAAAGAAGCACGGUGGCUAGGAAAAAAUCCCUAGGAAAAACUCCCUAGAAAGGCCAAAAACCUAGGAAGAAACCUAGAGAGGAACCAGGCUAUGAGGGGUGGCCAGUCCUCUUCUGGCUGUGCAGGGUGGAUAUUAUAACAGAACAUGGUCAAAAUGUUAAAAUGUUCAUAAAUGACCAGCAUGGUCAAAUAAUAAUAAUCAUAGUAGUUGUCGAGGGUGCAACAAGCACGUCCGGUGAACAGGUCAGGGUUCCAUAGCCGCAGG